rnacentral:lncRNA from 1 species
CUUGACGCAGUAGGGACGGUACAGAGAGGCAGUCAAAAUAAAAAAAAAGGGCAAAACAGCAUAUAAGAAUGAAUAGAGAACAAGCAUAAAGUCCACCGAAAUAAAUUCAAAUGAUUUCAAUAAUUUCAUAAAUACUACGACAAUUCAUGAUAAUCAAGGAAUUGCAAAAGGAUUUCUCAAUUAAGAUAGCUGAAACACGGUUUCAAGUAUCACAGGUAUAUAAUCUUUCCAGUACACCCAAUCAUUUGUUUAACAGUUCUUUUCAGUACCAACACAACUAGGCCACACAAGCAAGGCUGUCAUUGCUGUGCCGGCCCAGGUGCUGCUUGGUGACUGCUGGGAGCUUGUGGGGGCGCUUGGGAGUGAUAAGGAGGUGGAGGGUAUUGUUGAUAAGGAGGAGGUGGAGGCGGCAUAUACCCAUAAGGCGGAUAAAAUGGCUGGUAAAACUGACCUUGAGGGGGCGGCACACCUGGGUAAGAAGGAUAAUGCUGCCCUUGCUGCUUAUCUGACCCACUCCUGUUCUCACUUGACCCACUGGAAGCUCCUUCUUGAGAUGGAAUAACUGCGCCCAUUCUUUGAGGAUCCAUUGAAGGAUAAUAUGCCCGCUCCUGCUGAGGCGGUGGUGGUGGAAUAUUGAAAUAAUGCAUU